rnacentral:tRNA from 1 species
UGGAAUUCUAAUAGAACGAGCUUCUAACUCGAACUGGGGGCUUCUGCUCCGU